CGUCAUGUCAUAACUGAGAACCUCAUAAGGAUGUGUGUGAUCCGAAACCCCAGUUUUACAGAGCUGGAAGUGGUGAAUGACUAAGCAAAAUGUUUCCUGACCUGGCUCUCCAGAGGCACCAUCACCUCUCGGUCAGAGAAGACAGUCUCUUUAGCUCUGUUUCAUACCACUCUGCUCUCUUCCAGGUCUUUCCAGCAGUGUUGGCUUUGUUAUGCCAGACCCCGGGGAAUACCCCACCUGAGCUUUAUACCAUGUAUAGAACAGCUGCUCGGGAUGGUUCGUGGACACCAGUAGCGUCUGAAUUUCUAUAAACCCUCAGCUGAGGAGCAGCUCCCCAGAGAAGCAACCACAUGGCCGGUGUCGCAGUUGCUCUUCUGCUGCCAGCACUGCGCAGCUGAAGGGGUCCGGUGGGCAUCGGGACACCUGAUGCAAACAGUGCGCAGACCCAGGAGGACUCGGUGUUGCAUAAACUGUGAGCAUCGCACAUCCUUCUCCGGUCAGGGAAUAGUACGACUUAGCAACCUGCCCCUAUGGAGCCCCCCGGUCCUCCAGCUGCCUGCGUGGGUGACUCGAGAUGCCGCUGCCCUCUGGGUGAAGCGGAGCAAUAAGAUGACUCCAGAAGAGGUAGAUGUUGCAUUGAAUUUGUAGUGGUGGCAGCCACUGGUAACUGCUGGGUUGGUGACCUUGAACAAGUCACCUUCACCCAUGCCUCUGCCAUUGCCAGAAACACACACCUUUGGAAGAGCUGUCCUGCUGACGGUGAACUCUUUAAGGAGCAGAGGUGAAUUUUCUUAGGUUUCUUUUUUUGUACUUUUGUGCUUUUUGUGUGUGGUGGGGCACCGACAGCAUUCUUGUGCACCAGCCUGUGCUGGCUCCAGGGAGUGGUGGGACCAGAGGAAGCAGGGCAGGGAGGGCAGCCGGUGGCCCCUUGGCCAUACCCUGAGCCCUGCUCCCUGCUGAAGCCUGUUUUGCCUUGCUGGAUGCUUCCAGCAGAGACCCAGCCCUGCGGGAACGCUGAGCUCUGCCUGCAAAUGGCAGCCAGAGAUGGCUGGACGCUGCUCGCCCUGCGUGGGCUGCGCUUGGUGCUGCAAGACGUGAAUCUGGAGGGGACCGUAGGGCUCUGCACCCUGCAGCCCCACUGUGUUUCCCAAGAGGUGGCUCUGUCUCUAGCUACCCUCCCCUUGCUCCUCCAUCUCAGGUUCAGGGUGCAGAGGUCCCUGCUGGCCCUUCCCAUCACGAUUUAUCAGAAAACCAAAUUGGCCUUGCAGUGGAAGCAAUUCGAGACAUGGCGGGAUGCGUCGGGAGCGGGGUUUGGCACCUGGGGGAGCGGGGUCCAUCUGCAGCUCCAGCCAGCACCGCUGCUCCCCGGAGCUGGGCACAUGGCCGGGGCGGUGGGCACAUGGCCGGGGCGGUGGGCAGGCGGCAGCGAGGAGCAAGAGAGCGGCAAAAAACACCCAGGGAAAUUAUUUACGUGACUUUGAUUUCUGCGCAAAUCUUGCCCUAAAAAGGGCACAGCUGUCACUCCAUUUGUCAACAUCAGCAAGUAAUUAUGUAAAGAAAAACAUCAUUGUACUUUUGACUUUGAUGCUUGUCGUAUCGGCCAGAGACCGAUAGAUGGACCACUUGGAUUAUGCGAGGUAAUCGCAUGGUGUGAAUGCGCAAAGCUGGAAGGGCUCCUCUGGCUUCAGCUAAGCUUGUUAUUUUUUUCCCCUAAUAAUAGAGUGAGAACUGAGAAAAAGAGAGAAAAUUAGGAGUAGAAAAAGCAGCUCCUCUUUGUUGAAUAGACAGUUUAAUUUAUUCCUGAGCACAAUGUACCUGAAGAGUGAUAAGAAACAACUUUGAUAUCAUGCUAAAUAAAUAAAAAAUAGGUUACAUAACCUAAUUUUCUCUGGGUCUUACAGCAGUUUCUAUUUUAUCAGCUUGCAUUUAACCGGAGCAAAAUUAAUAAGGUGAGAAAAGUAAGGCUGCCUCGAAUACCAUGAGAUUUCUUAAAAAGAAAGCAUCUGUAAGCUAUUUAUUUUGCAUGCAGGUCGCCGUGUGGCAAUUCAGGGGGGCUGACCUCCAAGAGAAGCUGAUGCUGGGUGGGUGAAACUGAAGGCUGGGUCCCUGGGCUGGACCUCACCGGUGGGUGACACUGAAGGCUGGGUGCCCAGGUCCCUGGGCUGGACCUUGCUGGUGGGUGGCACCGAAGGCUGAGUCCCCAGGUCCUGGGGCUGGACCUCACUGGUGGGUGACACCGAAGGCUGGGUCCCCAGGUUGAACCUCACCAGCAGAGCGCAUGGCCCCACAUGUGGGACCUCGCAGCAGUGCUGGGGCCAGUGCAGCUGCUGGGGCUGGGCACAUGGUCACCCACGGCUUGGAGGUGAGGGAACCAGGGGAGGAGACAUGUCCACCUGUGCUCAGUGCUCCCAAACCUUGCAACCUCUCCCAAGAUUUCAGCGGCAGCUGAUUAAAACGAUUUAGUCUGUGUGAGAGCACAAGAAGCCCUUUAGUUAAUAAUUUCCUCCUAUUCCCCCCUCUCCUUCCCCAAGAACUAAGGAGAAGAGAGAAAAAGCUGAAAUAAAUGUUUGUUUUUAUAUAUUUCCAGAAUUUGGUUCUGCUGGCUUUAGAGAUGAACCAAUACUACAGCUGCAGCAAGUGGAGAUGGUGGCAGCCCCGUGCCUCCCUUCUCCGUAGUGACCAACCUUCACGUGCAGGAACACGGAGCCCACCCGUCUGUCACCAGCUGAAGGUGCCUUCAGGCACGGCUUUAGCCUUUUUGGCUUGGGGUACGUUUUAACUCAGUCUGGAAGGAACAGAGGGUAUGAGGGUUUAGAUGUAAAAUUCCCCAUUAAGCAGCAGUGGUGGCAGGUGAUUUUGUUGCGUUUUGGUUUCCUGUGGCGUUGCAAAGGAGAGGGGCAGCUGGGGAGGCUCCUUUGCAGCAGUUUUUCUUUUGACAAGUCCAGCUCCCAGUCACCCAGAAGGGUGUCACCGCCUGGCUGGGGAGGGCGAGGGGGAAUUGCAUCAGUGCAGAAACAGCCUGCAGAGCUGCAGCAGGUCGUACUGCAGCAAUGUCUUUUGGACUAGAUGUUUCCGAGGGGCUUAAACUGCUCCAGUGAAGGGGCUGUUGAGCUGCUGUGCAUGCACGCGCACACAGAGCCUAUCUGGCUUUUCUGCCCUUGGGCUGAGCUUAAAGGCGCCUGGUAAUGGGUAGACCUGAUGCCAGGAGUGCCCGGGAGCUGGCUCACCCCCUUGCCAGCCGUGAUGCCUGUCUGCCAGCCGCCGGUCCCGGGGCGUGACUAACUCGCAACGGUCUGACGUGGAACUAAGCCUCUUACUUUAUGUCUUUUGUAACCCUGCUGCUGGAAGUAAACUUGUCUAUGCAAACUGUACAUCAGCAAACAGAGACAAAUGUGGCCUGGUUCCUCCGGCGUUAGGCAUUUACAUUGGCAUUUUCUGAGCUUUGGAAGAGAAAAAUGGGAAUGGGAAAAUAAAUUAGGGGUUACGUCACUUGGAUGUAUCUUUUUUACAAAAGGAAGAAACUCUGUGGUUGUGCAGCAUGUUGAAGGACGCUAGCCUGAAAGAGGCAAUGGGUGCUUUUGGCUGGCUCCCUGCAGUGUUUACUGCUUUCAUGCCGCUCACAUAAUGAUCCAGCUUGCAUGUGUGUGGCUCAGCAAGUCAUUAUAUAGUUCCCUCAGUGGCCCACAGCGUGCCAGUCUCACUGCCUGUCCCACAGUGCCAAGUGACAGACAGACAGGGCUUAUGGGCAGACAUUUACUGCGCACUCCUGCCAUCAGGCCAAGGGCACCUCUAGCCCGAGUCGUGCCUGAGAGGUGAGCUGGAGCAAGCUGGGGGUUUGCUUUGUGUAAUACGACCAUUGCCACCGAUUUACCUCUGCUGGACCGACAGGCCUUCUACCAUAAACAAGAUCGUGCAGGAGCAUAGCAGGCUGCAGAUACGCUUUGCACUAGAUUGUGGUAUAGAAAUAUAUUGCAGAUGGUAUUUACUUAAAAGACAAGUAAAUUUUAAUUUUUGUGUCUGCUUGGAAUAAACCUAAUUAAAAGCUAAGCAGACUGUUUUCCUCUUCACUUAAAAUAUUACAAUUAGUGGCAACAUCUGUGUUGCACAAUUUAUUAUUUGUAUGUGCAAUGUUGUAAAAUACACUUCCCAACAUUAUAAACUGGCAUACAAAACCCCUGCAACUAACUAAUUAAACAACAUUAAAAUGCUAAUCUAAUUUGGAGUAAGAGAAUUCAAUAUAAUUUUUUGUCUUUAAAGUGUUUUCUUGUUCUAUUACAGAACCCCAGGGAAACUGUGCUGUGGUGUGAGCUGGGGGGGCAGUCCUUUUGCUAUAGAAUCCAUAUGUGAGUUCUAUAAAAUACAGGCUGACAAAUCAGUUGAACUCAACGUUGGGAUGUUUGAAUUGGAGAUGUGUCCUGUGGGUGGUCCUCAAAUCGACAAGAUAUGCGUGAAACAAGACUUCAGGGGAUCACAGUCACUGUCCUGAGUGGCACAGGGAACAGACUUCAACUCUACACCUUACGGUACAUGGUGAGGACAGUGGCUAAAGAAGUAAUUCUUCUCUGGCAUAAAAUACUGUUUUCCCACAGCCUUUUAUCCCCAGAAGUUACCUAACGCAGAAGGCAGUGGGAGUCCUCGCUGCAAGGACAGAAAGGAUUGCUCACAGCAUACAGCUCUAUUAAUCCUUCUUUUGAGCUGGUGUUGCACUCAGUCCCUCUUCCCUCAUCUCCCACCUCAGCCAAUGCCUUAAAUUGUUCCCCCCACUUCCAUCCAUCCUGGUGUUAAACCCCAGUGGUGGUUGCACCCUCCUGGGAGGUGUGGUGCUUCCAGAAGACCUUUUAGUCCCAUGCCUUAAGGUGCAUGGGCAGGAAGGUGGAGAGACACGGGAGCCAGAGUAGCUGCUCAUCCUCUGGUGUCUGGUAGGAGCUUGACCCAGCCGUGGUGUGACUCACACCCUCAGGAGACUGAUUAAGUAGAGGAAUACCUCUGCAUGGGUUAUAAAUAGCCUAAGGAGUGUAGCCCAUCUCAAGUCAAAGUCAAAGGAUGAUCUCAAUUGUUGUCACUAGCAGCUUAAAUCAGCCUGUGUGUCUUUGCCCUGAGGUGGAUCAAACAGGAGCAGGUGUAAGAGCAGGAAUAGCUGCGAGGAGAAACUCCUUCCCUGGGAAAUUUCACCGGCAACUGUCCUCUGCCAGUGUGUUACCUGAUUGCAGCGCCAGCCUGGCAUCGGUAACUCCGGAUGGAAACACAAUGUCAGCGUGGUAGUAGACACACUAACCCCGCAGACCCUGCCACCCUUAGCACACGGGAGCGCCUGCCUGCUGCGAGCCCUGCGCACCUGCAGCUCUGUGCUGGAUGCGGCACCUCGGCCCUGCUCAUCGCUCAGCUGUGGUAAGAAAGAUUGACAAAGAUAGAAAUGGAAAUGAUACAACACUCAAGGAAUAAUCUGCGUCCUCACUUGUGGAGUGAAUCUGGGAGUAAAAUCUUCUGCCCUGCCAGUCUGAUCCUGCUGGCCCUUCCUGCAGUGGGGAGGAACUGUGGGGCAGCCUGGUGGGCUUACAGAUGUGCACAGAGCCACGCUGCCCCUGGGAGUGAGGGGUCAGGGGCUUUUUUUGUGAUUCCUCAAACUGCUGCUGGAGGCAGCUUGCUCUGAAGAAGUCCUGCUGCAAGCUUGGGAUCACUCUCCCAGCAUUCAGCACAGCCCAUGCUUGCCUCCCGGGGCACAUUGGAGCACCCCGUCCCCACUGACUAUGCUGCAAAACACGGCAUGUUGAUCUCCUGCUAAGGAAUCAGGUCCUCAGCCUGUCCUUUCUUUUUCUUGCUCCUAUUUCUUCUGGUCUGGGGGUCCCUGGGGGUGUGCAGAGCGGGACACAGGUGAGAUGCUCUCAUCCUUGCAUCAGCAGGAUGAGCCCAGUGCCAUAAGCAUCUGAAUGCUGGAGUGGAAAUCACGAAAUCUGAAAUGUAUUUCAGGCUGCUGAAAGAGCACUAGCCGUGCCAAUGAUGUUUAACAAAAUGCCUGUUUGUCCUGGGUCAGUAGGCACCAGAGGCAACCACCCGUUCCUGCCCAUCGGCUCCCCGGCUGAGCAGCCUGGACCUGACUGCCAGCCAGGCUGUUAGGUCAUCCAGCUGCCAUCGGAUUUCUUGGAGGCUGAAGAAACCAGAGUCCUCCCAGAAGCAGAAGAAAGCCUCGCCACGUUAUUUUAAUAAGGUUUGACGUGUGUCCUUCAUGGCCAGACUUUCUGGCUGCUGCUGCUGACAACUUUGUCCAGGAAAUUGGGAGCAUUUUUCUCUUGCACUUAAGUGGGAAGGGAAAAAUGUGUGUGACUGGGACCUGUGUUUAUCAAUGUAUGGAAAAGAAGUUGGUUGGUGCCAAAUAGUCAGUGACUGCUGCCCCAGCCUUUAGAUGUACAAAGAAGGUAUUACACGGGAUCAAGAAAUGAAAUCUAACCAAAAUAAAUCUCUGAGGCUUGCAUGGCUUUUGGCGUGCAGGUAGACAGCCGGCUGCACCCCGGCUAACUUCCCUCUCUCCGUUGCCUAACCAGCACCAUGCCAGGGAAGGGAGCAUGCUGGAGUUGCGUGCCCCUCUAUCCAAUGGGGAUAUGCUUGUUAAAAAAGAAAAAAAAAAGGCAGCAAAGGUAUCACUUGUGCCCACACUGGGUAGAAAUGAUGGGUGCCGUUGAGCCCAGAGGAGCUGUGCCACAGUUGAGCAGCCAUGUACCCAGCCUGCUGAUUCUCAGUUUUAAGUUUCUGGGUUUUAAUCACUCAAACAGAUUCCUCUUUUCCAGGCUCAGAUUUGAUUCAAAGCACUGUUAGGCUUCUCAGCUCUAUUUUGGAUCAGCUUGUUCAGACAAGCCUGCAGGCAGAUCCCAUUAGCACCUGCUCUUUCCUGCCUUGGUGAAGCCCCUUUGGUGACCUGGAGGGUGAGGAACGGCUGGAAGCGUAAACUUGGAGGCAACCGGUGACUGCAGCGGUAGGCACACGUGCAGGGCCCAGCUAAUUCACCCACAGAGGCCGUGUAGAUAAAGAGAAGAUAUCACAAAUAGCCAGACAAUGCAAUGCAGUAUGUACCCACUUGUUGCUUUUUCGAGAAUAUUUGCAGCUUCUAUUGCCUUUACUUUUAGUAAACGCACUGAUGCAUUACAUGUCUGAUAAUUCUUGGGAAAGUUCCCUGUCUAAAUUUUUUUUUCUUCUGUGAAAGCUUUUAAUAAUUCAAAUCCAACCUAGAAAAUUGCCACAAGGAACACUCUGUCUUCUCAGCUGUGCAGAGGAGAGCCUAGACCCUGCCUCUCUGAUGCUGGACUACUCAAGACUCCCCCUUACAAAUUAUUAGGCCUAAUUUAGCUUUUAUUAAUUCUACUUUUUCCUAAUUUUAAUUCCUAG